rnacentral:rRNA from 1 species
UACGGAGGGUGCGAGCGUUGUCCGGAAUCACUGGGCGUAAAGGGCGCGUAGGCGGCCGCGUAAGUCACUUGUGAAAUCCCGGGGCUCAACUCCGGGGCUGCAGGUGAGACUGCGUGGCUAGAGCACGGUAGAGGCGAGUGGAAUUCCCGGUGUAGCGGUGGAAUGCGUAGAUAUCGGGAAGAACACCGGUGGCGAAGGCGGCUCGCUGGGCCGUUGCUGACGCUGAGGCGCGAAAGCGUGGGGAGCAAACAGG